rnacentral:rRNA from 1 species
UACAGAGGUGGCAAGCGUUGUUCGGAAUUACUGGGCGUAAAGGGCGCGUAGGCGGCCUUCUAAGUCAGACGUGAAAUCCCCAGGCUCAACCUGGGAACUGCGUCUGAUACUGGAUGGCUUGAAUCCGGGAGAGGGAUGCAGAAUUCCAGGUGUAGCGGUGAAAUGCGUAGAUAUCUGGAGGAAUACCGGUGGCGAAGGCGGCGUUCUGGACUGCAACUGACACUGAUGAACGAAAGCCAGGGGAGCAAACGGG